GACAUAGGUGGCAAGCGUUAUUCGGAAUUACUAGGCGUAAAGCGAGUGUAGGCGGACGCUUAAGUCCGACGUUAAAUCUCCAGGCUUAACUUGGAGCUGUCGUCGGAUACUGAGCGCCUCGAGUGGGGUAGGGGGGCAGUGGAAUUCCUGGUGUAGCGGUGAAAUGCGCAGAUAUCAGGAGGAACACCAGCGGCGAAGGCGGCGCUCUGGGCCGGAACUGACGCUGAGGAGCGAAAGCGUGGGUAGCAAACAGG
rnacentral:rRNA from 1 species